rnacentral:rRNA from 1 species
CCCUUAGACGUUCUGGGCCGCACGCGCGCUACACUGACCAGUGCAACAAGCAUCCGUCCUUGGCCGACAGGCCCGGGCAAUCUUUGAACGCUGGUCGUGAUGGGGAUAGACUUUUGCAAUUUUUGGUCCUCAACGAGGAAUUCCUAGUAAACGCAAGUCAUCAACUUGCAUUGAUUACGUCCCUGCCCUUUGUACACACCGCCCGUCGCACCUACCGAUUGAAUGGUCCGGUGAAGCCUCCGGAUUGGCGCGCACCUCGGUGCCGCCGAGAAGUUGGCUAAACCUUACCAUUUAGAGGAAGGUGAAGUCGUAACA